AUUGAACGCUGGCGGCAUGCCUUACACAUGCAAGUCGAACGGUAACAGGGUCUUCGGAUGCUGACGAGUGGCGAACGGGUGAGUAAUACAUCGGAACGUGCCCGAUCGUGGGGGAUAACGCAGCGAAAGCUGUGCUAAUACCGCAUACGAUCUACGGAUGAAAGCGGGGGAUCGCAAGACCUCGCGCGGACGGAGCGGCCGAUGGCAGAUUAGGUAGUUGGUGGGAUAAAAGCUUACCAAGCCGACGAUCUGUAGCUGGUCUGAGAGGACGACCAGCCACACUGGGACUGAGACACGGCCCAGACUCCUACGGGAGGCAGCAGUGGGGAAUUUUGGACAAUGGGCGCAAGCCUGAUCCAGCCAUGCCGCGUGCAGGAUGAAGGCCUUCGGGUUGUAAACUGUCUUUUGUACGGAAACGAAAAAGCUCUCUCUAAUACAGGGGGUGAAUGACGGUACCGUAAGAAUAAGCACCGGCUAACUACGUG
rnacentral:rRNA from 1 species